rnacentral:rRNA from 1 species
UACGGGGGGGGCAAGCGUUGUUCGGAAUUACUGGGCGUAAAGGGCUCGUAGGUUGCCAACUAAGUCAGACGUGAAAUCCCUCGGCUUAACCGGGGAACUGCGUCUGAUACUGGAUGGCUCGAGUUCGGGAGAGGGAUGCGGAAUUCCAGGUGUAGCGGUGAAAUGCGUAGAUAUCUGGAGGAACACCGGUGGCGAAGGCGGCAUCCUGGACCGACACUGACACUGAGGAGCGAAAGCCAGGGGAGCAAACGGG